rnacentral:rRNA from 1 species
CCUACGGGGGGCAGCAGUGGGGGAUAUUGCACAAUGGGGGAAACCCUGAUGCAGCGACGCCGCGUGUGGGAAGACGGUCCUCUGGAUUGUAAACCACUGUCCCCAGGGACGAAGAUGACGGUACCUGGGGAGGAAGCUCCUGCUAACUACGUGCCAGCAGCCGCGGUAAUAGGUAGGGAGCAAGGGUUGUCCGGAAUUACUGGGUGUAAAGGGAGCGUAGGCGGGAUGGAAAGUUGGGUGUUAAAUCUACAGGCUAAACUGGUAGUUGCAGUCGAAACUGCUAGUCUUGAGUGAAGUAGAGGCAGGCGGAAUUCCUAGUGUAGCGGUGAAAUGCGUAGAUAUUAGGAGGAACACCAGUGGCGAAGGCGGCCUGCUGGGCUUUUACUGACGCUGAGGCUCGAAAGUGUGGGGAGCAAACAGGAUUAGAUACCCUGGUAGCC